rnacentral:rRNA from 1 species
GACGUAGGGGACGAGCGUUGUCCGGAUUUAUUGGGCGUAAAGCGCGCGUAGGCGCCUGGUAAGUCGGAUGUGAAAACCCGGGGCUCAACCCCGGGCCUGCAUCCGAAACUGCCCGGCUAGAGGUAGGUAGGGGAGAUCGGAAUUCCUGGUGUAGCGGUGAAAUGCGCAGAUAUCAGGAGGAACACCGGUGGCGAAGGCGGAUCUCUGGGCCUUACCUGACGCUCAGGCGCGAAAGCUAGGGGAGCGAACGGG